rnacentral:tRNA from 1 species
GCGCCUGUAGCUUAAUGGAUAGAGCACUUGUCUUCGGAACAAGGGGUUGCGUGUUCGACUCACGCCAGGCGCG